UCAGAGGAAGAACUUCAGAAUGC
rnacentral:piRNA from 1 species